rnacentral:rRNA from 1 species
CCUACGGGUGGCAGCAGUGGGGAAUAUUGGACAAUGGGGGCAACCCUGAUCCAGCCAUGCCGCGUGUGUGAAGAAGGCCCUCGGGUUGUAAAGCACUUUCAGUGAGGAAGAACGCCUGGUGGUUAAUACCCAUCAGGAAAGACAUCACUCACAGAAGAAGCACCGGCUAACUCCGUGCCAGCAGCCGCGGUAAUACGGAGGGUGCGAGCGUUAAUCGGAAUUACUGGGCGUAAAGCGCGCGUAGGUGGCUUGAUAAGCCGGUUGUGAAAGCCCCGGGCUCAACCUGGGAACGGCAUCCGGAACUGUCAAGCUAGAGUGCAGGAGAGGAAGGUAGAAUUCCCGGUGUAGCGGUGAAAUGCGUAGAGAUCGAGAGGAAUACCAGUGGCGAAGGCGGCCUUCUGGACUGACACUGACACUGAGGUGCGAAAGCGUGGGUAGCAAACAGGAUUAGAUACCCUUGUAGUC